rnacentral:lncRNA from 1 species
AUGUCCCAGGGUUGUGUACUCUCUGUCCAUAGCCUUCUAAACCUACUGGUCUUGAGGAGUCAUCUAAUGACUAUAGAUAACCUGGUAUCUUCUUUUAUCUGAACUGAAUCACUUCAACCACCUACACAAGACCGCGUCACAAACUAUCAGCAUGCAGAAACUAUGAUUCAGUGCCUCUAAUGAUCAGGAUAUUAGGUGUCUACAGGAUCUCUAAAGAAAAACUUCCUCCUGACAUGAACCACGAUCAACUUCUGUUCCUCCCAAAAGGAAGACAUCAAGCAUCCUACAGACUGCACACCACAAAACUGAAAGCUCCUAAAGGAAAAGGCAUGACCACACACAAGAGCUGCGAGCUCUGAGCAGCAAAGUGCCUGCAGCUGAUUGAGUGCAGUCCCGGGAGAGGAACGUGUAACCACGUGCAUGCACUUCAGGGGGAAAUCUGCAGGCUCUGUAAAACCCUAGCUGCAGGAGGGCUCUGCUUACUUGGUGGAGAUUUCUUUCAGGGUAGAGAUCUGGCAUAGGCAUGAAAUGCUACUUGAUAUCAGAUUUAUUAGUUUGUAGUUGAGAUAUAAAGUAUUAGCUCUCUAUUUAUAUUGUUCUGUUAAUGAGCAGUCUCUGAUAGAGAUAGUAUUUCUGCUUCUGGGCCUUCUUUAAUAUCAAAGGACAGAUUUCUAGCUAUAAUUACAUAUGCAUUAGGCUCUUCUCCUUUCAGCAGAUAUUGUUAAGUUGUUCUGAUAGAGAUACAAAAUAAAUACAAAUAGACCAAAAAUAACA